CACAUGAGAAGAUGCUCAAUGUCACUAAUCAUCAGGUAAAUACAAAUCAAAACCACAAUAUCACCCUAUACCUGUCAGAGUGGUUAAUAUUCAAAAACACAAGAAACAACAAGUGUUGGCUAAGAUGUGGAGAAACGGGAACCCUCUUGCACUGUUGGUGG